AACCAUAUUCAUAGAUAUCAAUGACGAGCAGAAAUUGUAUAUUUGUGUUGGCGUUAGGUCUUCUUCCACCUCAUCUAGAAAAAAAAUAAAAUUGACCCACAUAAAAUUAAUGUAAGAUUUUUUUUUAUUUUUUUUUUAGAGAAUAAAAAAAUUAAUGUAUGUUAUUACUUAAAUUAGCUCAUUAAAAAAUCAGUAACAAAAUAUUCACAUGUUAUCCAUAGAUUAAAUAAGAAGCAUUUUAUUUUAUUUUAUCAUAAAUAAGAAGCAUAUAUCAUUAUUAUUCUUCCAAGUAUUCAACGUUUACAAUCAAAUACUUCUUUGACACAAGAAGCAUAUGGCCAUUUUAUUCUAGUAUUAUUAGAAAAGAGAUUAAAACACUGAAACAAGGAAGAUGUUUUAGUCUCAACAGUUGACAAACUCGUAGUUUACAGUAAGGAAGCCUUGUUUAUCGGUGUCAGUCUGAUUAAACACGGGGGAAUUUGGUCCGAUAUCUUUAUUUUAAACACCUUAACGAGAAAUACCCUCCCUCUUUUAAAUCUUUUUUAUCUACCCACCCUCUUUUCAUUAUUCCAACCUUACCCUUUCUCUAUAAACCACUUACAAUUUCUUUCUCACUCUUAGCAGUAUCCCACCUACCGCAUUUCAUAUCCAAUAUCCCUCUUUCUUUCUUUCUUCUCAUAGUGCUUUCUGAUGUUGGAUUCGAAGGACGAUCUUGAAGCUAUGUAAGGAGGUUUUAUGCUCAAUUUCAGGCGUCCAAAUGGUGGACCAUAACACACACGACAUUGAUUCUGAAGCAGUGGAGAGAGAGAGAGGGAGACAGAGAGUUGCAGGGAGCUUUUGUGUGAUUAGUUUGCUGAUUUCUUUCUUCGACCAUAGACUUGGAAUCGAAUUAUGAAAUCACUCGGACCGCUGAGUUCAUUAGCAGUGGCGGCUUCACCAGAGUCGCUUUACAGAUGAGCUCCUAAAUGAGGCGGUGAUAGUUGGGAGUGUUUUGCUGGACAAGCUUUGGUGUCUACGAGAAUCUCAAUCCGAUAGCGACUGGAAUGGCAACGUAAAAGAUGUAUCUUUGCGAUGAUGGCUGACACAGCGUACAGUAGCUGUUGCGUGGAUGAAGUCGGAGCAUCGCACAUCAAUGCUGAUUAUGUCGUGCACUACGGCCACGCGUGCUUCAGCCCGACUACAACUCUUCCAACAUUCUUUAUUUUUGGAAAAGCUUCAACUGGUGUGUCCAAUUGUGUAAAAAAUUUAUCAGAUCAUGCUGUGAGAAACGGCAAACCUGUCUUGGUCCCCCUUAGGCAAGAAUAUGCACAUUUGAUACAGCAUAUAAGAGAUGAAGUGGUAGAAGCAUGUAUGAGUAGCUCUAGAUUAGAAAUCCAAUUUGCUAGAACUGUCUUCGGACAUGAGUCCACCAGAAUCUCAUAAGAUCUCCAAUGGGAGCUUGGAAGCAGCUAGUGUCUUCUCUGAUGAUAAAUGUAUCAGGACAGUAGUUGGUAAUAGAUAUACCAUUGGAGGCUUGGUCUGGGAAUUACACGAGGAACACAAAAUGGAGGACUACUUGAUUUUUUGGAUUGGUUGUGGAAAUGCUGCAUUUGCAAGUGUUAUAGUGACGUUAAAUGGUUGUGAAAUAGAUAUGAUGCAAAGUCAAAUUGCAUGGUGACAGACUGAUCUUAACAAAGAAGAAUUCUUAAGCAUAGAUGUUACCUCGUCAAGAGAAGGCAAAGGAUGUGAACAUUGUUGGUAUUCUGGUUGGAACUCUUGGUGUAGGUAAAACUGAGUCUUUAGAUCCAAAAACAACUAUUCUGGUACCUGAAGACAGAUAUGGACUUCAUGCAAUUGAUACAUUGGACCCUGACAUGGUGUUCAGAGAAGAAAACAAAAUUGAACAGCCUUUGCAACUGCAGAGCAUAAAAGUUACUAGUGCAGGUUUUGCCUUAAUGAAGAAUGUUUUAUUUUCUGGAGCUUCUUGGGUUGUAGGUGCUUUAAAUAAGAUUCUGAAACCAGCCAGAAGAUUGAGGAGAACAUAGGAAAGUGAUUGAAUAGGAACAAAAAGAAGAAAAAUGGCAUAAAACUAUGCUCAAGCUUAUCCAUCCGAGUCUACACCAAGCGAGGAUCAGCCAUCUAAGGAUGAACCUGCUCAAGGUUUGAUGCUGAGAUAUGGUCCUGUAAAGUAAAUACUUCUUAGCAUUUGUAUUCAGUUCUAUUUAGAAGUGGCCCUUUUCUAGGCCAUUGGGUGAUUGAUGAGAGUUCAUCUAUGCCUUUGUAUGUGACAAUUUCCUAUAAUUUACUGAUGUUUAUGGAGCUAUCUAUUUCUUUUUUCAUAC